UAGGACUAGACAUCCCUCGUCCCUGGGAAACUGGAGGUACACACACACACACAGUAGGACUAGACAUCCCUCUUCCCUGGGAAACUGGAGGUACACACACACACACAGUAGGACUAGACAUCCCUCGUCCCUGGGAAACUGGAGACACACACACACACACACACACACACACACACACACACAGUAGGACUAGACAUCCCUCGUCCCUGGGAAACUGGAGGUACACACACACACACACACACACACACACAGUAGGACUAGACAUCCCUCGUCCCUGGGAAACUGGAGGUACACACACACACACACACACAUCCCUCUUCCCUGGGAAACUGGAGGUACACACACACACACACACACACACACACACACACACAGUAGGACUAGACAUCCCUCGUCCCUGGGAAACUGGAG
ensembl:lncRNA